CUAAGCGCGUGGGGAAAGCAGGCGGGCAGCCGUCCUGUGGGGUGAUUCCCGAGGAGAACACUUUUGGAAGAGGCCUAAAAAUGCACUUUCCGGCACAGGGAGGAGCGCGGAGCGGCUUCCCCCGGGAAAGGGCCCCCGGGCUGGCGCUGCAGGGAGCCCGGCCCUGCGGGAAGGCAGCCAGGAAGGAAAAGGCGGCAGCGGCCGAGCGCAAUUUGAAGCUUCGGUGCAGGCAGCAGGACGUGGGUGCAGCAGGAGAGGCGCGCAAGCAAGCAAGCGGGAGUAUGGGCAUGCAUGAGGAGGAGAGCGGCCCGGAGCUGCAGGUGGUGCCAGGCCCGGCCCGGCCCGGCGGAGGGCGUGCACGGGCGCGUCUGUGUGCAGAGACAUGGCUUCAGCGUUAAACCCGUCCUGUUUUAACACAGCGUUCAAAGUGCGAUAAAGGAGAGUGUAACGAAUGAGCUGAUCGGCUGUCAGUCCCAAAUCCAGCAGAAUUCCUCCAUGCCGUCAGAAUCUCUUGUCUUCAGGUGUUGUUUGCAUCUCCCUCCAGCUUGGCUGCUGCUGGCUUCGCUAAUUUCUCAUUUAGCGAUGGAGUGUGGGGUGGAUGUUGGGUUAAAACUGCUGGAACUAAAGUAAAUGGGGUGGGUUGGAGCUCAGCCUGAGUGAGAAGUAGUGGGGCCACAACCCUGACAAUCCGAACCCCCAUUUCCAUCUUUUUAAUAGUGAGAUGAAGAAGAAAGUAGAGAAGGCAGGAAUAAAGGAAAAGCAAUAAGAAGAAAGGAAGGAAUAAAGAAAAAGGAAGGAUAAUGCAGAAAGAAAGGAAUGGAAGAAAAGCAUUGUAUUCCAUAGUGUUUGGUAAUUUGAUGAACAGGAAUGAGAAAAGCAGCUCUUAGCCGAAGAGCAAUGAGAAAUAGGAAGGAAAGAAUAAAGAAAAAAAGGGGAUGAAAGAAAUGAAGAAGUGUAUUCCAUAGCUAAUAAUGAGAUGAAGGAAGGAAGAAAUAAAGAGGAAGAAAGAAUAAGGAAGGGGAGAUUAAAGAAAGAAAUGAAGAAAGGUGUGGUAUUCCAUGGAGUUUAGUAAUGAGAUGAAUGAAGGAGGGAAGAAAUAAGAAAGGAAGACAGAAAGAGAGGAUGAAAGAAAGAAAUGAAGAAAUGUGUGGUAUUCUGUAGCAUUUAGUAACGAGAUGAAGGAAACAAUGAGAGGAAGGAAGGAGGGAGGGA